GCUGUAUUCAAUUUUAUUUUAUUUUUUUCUGUUUAAGUAUUUCAUCUCAUAUUGGUGGGGUCCUGGGGGCUUCCGAUAUACUGACCGGGUUAUUUACUGAGCUCAAAAUUUCUGGGAAUCCAAAGAGAAUUUUAAAUUUAAGAUGAAGAUUUUUUAUUUUUUUUUCCUAAUUCAGUUAUUCAAGCCAAAAUCACCUGGAAUUCUAGUGAAUAACUCUGUGAAUGUCAAGCUCCUUAGGAUAGCAUUUUAAUUAAAUGAAUUGUGCUUCACCACUCUCCUAUGGCUUUGAGUCGAAUAUAGAGGGGAGGCCUGGCCGGAUUGAUGAUAUAAAGGGUCUCGGUGGGGUGCGAUGUGUAUGGAUGCCAGAUGCACCACGUUACAGCCUGGCUUGGUUUCCAUCACAGCCACAAGAAAGCUUUUAGUGCCAUCUACUUGUUGCUCAUUGUUAAACAAGCUUGCCACACUGCUUCUCCUUGCCUAUCGGUUCCAUUGUACAUAUAAUAUCCAGAUAGCCCUGUGUUAGAGAUCUUCCAAUAGGAACCACGUUAGGCUGUGCUCCUCACUGCUCCAGCCACCAACCAACUAUUUUCAGAUCAUUUCUCCUUAAGUUCGCUUGAAACCUCUGUCCACAUACUUAUUUAUAUCAUGGUCAGGAGUGAAUAUUUCUCUGUGAGAUUAUCUCGUAUAAUCUUUUACACAGGGUACCCUUACCCUGC